UUUGCCAUUUCAAUCUUUGGAAGAAUCAAG
rnacentral:piRNA from 1 species